GACGUAGGGUGCGAGCGUUGUCCGGAAUUACUGGGCGUAAAGGGCUCGUAGGUGGCCAACUAAGUCAGACGUGAAAUCCCUCGGCUUAACCGGGGAACUGCGUCUGAUACUGGAUGGCUUGAGUUUGGGAGAGGGAUGCGGAAUUCCAGGUGUAGCGGUGAAAUGCGUAGAUAUCUGGAGGAACACCGGUGGCGAAGGCGGCAUCCUGGACCAACACUGACACUGAGGAGCGAAAGCCAGGGGAGCAAACGGG
rnacentral:rRNA from 1 species